GACAGAGGGGGCAAGCGUUGCUCGGAAUCACUGGGCGUAAAGGCGCGUAGGCGGGAUGGCAAGUCAGUCGUGAAAUCUCUCGGCUCAACCGAGAAACGUCGGCUGAUACUGCCGUUCUUGAGGAUGCAGAGGAGACUGGAAUUCCCGGUGUAGCGGUGAAAUGUGUAGAGAUCGGGAGGAACACCGGUGCGAAGGCGGGUCUCUGGGCAUCUCCUGACGCUGAGGCGCGAAAGCCAGGGAGCGAACGGG
rnacentral:rRNA from 1 species